rnacentral:rRNA from 1 species
AAUGUAAUGCAUGCAAUGUUAAUGCAUUAGAUCCCAGUAGAACUCCAUAGUUAAGUGUCAUUGGGAUAGAAUAGUAUUGGGAUGGGUGAUCUCUCAUGAAGUCCUAGUGUUUUACAUGC